AAAAUGGUACACACUAUAAUAUUUACUGUUAAAGUUUAGUACAUUAUAUUACCACUAAAGUUGACAGGUUUUGGUGAAUUUUGUAGCCUGGUUUCUUAUGCUUCUAUCUUUUAAUCUUUAACCUUACACGGUUAAGAAAGUGUAUUAGUUGUGAAUUUCCUCUAGUGUCUUUCUGUAUGCUAGUGUAGGUUGCACAUUAGACUUCUGCAUGCCCUGUGCUUACAUUUUUGACAUUUUAAAUGUUGGCCGGUAAUGGUAUUUCUAUCAUCUUUUCCUCUUCCCUUUUGUUAAAUGAACUUUUUCCAUUUGUUUCAUUGUAUGAUAUUAUCAUAUUUGUCGGAUGAGAAUUUUGAGAUAUUAAACACUUGCUUAUAACAUAAGCAGUAACUGUAGUAUGAGA
rnacentral:lncRNA from 1 species